rnacentral:rRNA from 1 species
UUUUGGACAAUGGGGGGAACCCUGAUCCAGCAAUGCCGCGUGCAGGAAGAAGGCCUUCGGGUUGUAAACUGCUUUUGUACGGAACGAAACGGUCCUGGUUAAUACCUGGGGCUAAUGACGGUACCGUAAGAAUAAGCACCGGCUAACUACGUGCCAGCAGCCGCGGUAAUACGUAGGGUGCAAGCGUUAAUCGGAAUUACUGGGCGUAAAGCGUGCGCAGGCGGUUUUGUAAGACAGGCGUGAAAUCCCCGGGCUUAACCUGGGAAUGGCGCUUGUGACUGCAAAGCUGGAGUGCGGCAGAGGGGGAUGGAAUUCCGCGUGUAGCAGUGAAAUGCGUAGAUAUGCGGAGGAACACCGAUGGCGAAGGCGAUCCCCUGGGCCUGCACUGACGCUCAUGCAGGAG